GCACACCUUCUCUAAGACUGAUCCUUUCACUUCAUAAACCAUAUUGAUUUUGAGGUAAGUUGAAGCUUUCAUUUGUUCAUCAUAAGAACCUAAUUAUGUGUGCUUUAAUGUGACUUUUGCUACGUGUUCUUCAUGACGUUUGAAUGAUUGAUGAAUUAAUGAUAUGAAAGAUGUUUUGAAAAUGGGAGUAUGGUACUUGAUUGAUGGUCGAGUAGGCAAGGGACGCGGGUGGAACCGGCGGACCCAACACAUGGUGGCAAAUACCUGAGGUCGAAAGACCAGUAUGGAAAACCCACAAUUAAUGAAAUAAAGUACGGCUAAUACCUGAGGUCGAAAGGCCGGUAUGGAAACCCCGUAUUAUCUAUUGGCCAAAUAUCAUGAACAGGUUCCGAAAACGAAAGCCUAUUGCUAUCAGUCAAGUACCACACUUCAAGGGUACCCGAUAAAAAGAAGGAUUUCAAAGAAAAAGGAUCACGAAUGAAGUUAUAUGUGAUAUUGUACAUAUUGAAUGAAUAACGUGUUAUGUGAUAUAUUGCUAUUACAUCCGUUUCAACUUGCUGAGCCAUUAGCUCAUUAGGUUCUUAUGAUGCAGGUAAUCAUGUACAUGUUUAGAAGUUGACCUAGCCAAGAGCGGCCAGUCAGAUAUUUGUUCAUAUGCCAUGCUUCGCGCCAUUUUUGUAGCCGAGCUAGAAACUCUGAUUUCAUUUUGUUAGCCGCUCUAUUAUGGUUUUGUACAAUAUAAUUUUGUAAACAAUAAAUAUGUAUAUAUAUGUACAGAUUUCGAGAAAGUACAAAGUUUGAUUUCUUUUCAAAGCAUAUAACGUAUUUUUGUAUUAAAACCAUAAUGUUUAAGUAUGUAUAUAAAAGGUUAGCAUCCCUAACUUAAUGGUGGUGAUCCGAUUGGAUUCUGCUGUUAGGUUGUGGGGCGUUACAUUUUUGGUAUCAGAGCGGAGGAUCUUUUCUGAAGACAGAAGAAGGCAUAUGAACAUACUUUGGCUGGGAAGCUUGGUUAACUCUCUUCUUAUUUACCUAUUUGUUUGAUUUAUUAACAUAUAUAUGCCAUUGUCAUGAUUGUGCAUUAGAAAUGCAUACCAAAUAUCCAGAAUUGUUCGGUACGUCAAAUUUCGAGGGCGAAAUUUUAUAAGGAGGGAAGGAUUGUAAUGCCCAAUCAUCCAUAGAUAGCCAAUAAAUAAGCAUAUUGCAUCAAUUCAUAUAAGAAGAAUUCAUUAUUCAUGAUGCAUGAUCACGACUACUUGCUACACAUGUGCCUUAAUUGUGUUUUAAUACGGGAUCGAAUAAUUGUCUGAAAAUGUGCUAAACGGUCAUAUAUUCGUCCUAGAUGCAUUUCUGCAUUUUAAUUACAUUUUAAUAUGAUUAAUUACAUAUAUAAUUACAUGAAGUAGCUCAUAUUAGACUAAAAUCAAAAGUAUGCAAAAGGGUGCAAUUUGAUUGGUUGGUUGACUAGGUUGCACAAGACCAUUCUCAAAUUGUUUACACUUGAUUAUAAUGAGUAAGCAUCAGCCCCCAUCUUAUCUCAAGCUAUAAAAACGUGGAGGAACCACAAGAAUCCAGCAAAUACAAGCCUUCCAAUCAUCAUCCUCCAUUUGGCCUUGUUGGGAAUGGGUAGAUAAGUGAAGACUUUGUGUUUUGGUCUUCAUUUCACUUGUCUUCUUCCAAAAAACGACCAGACCUAUUUCCUAAGCUUCUCUUCAUAUUUCUUCACUUCCAUACUCACAUAAGAGAAUAUCAAACCCUAAGAACUCAUAGAAGUAGAGCUAGAACAAGUUGUUCACCUUUUCUAGCUGAAAAACCUACGUUUUGAAGUUUGAAUUCAUCUCUAAUCAAGGCUUCUAGCACACCUUCUCUAAGACUGAUCCUUUCACUUCAUAAACCAUAUUGAUUUUGAGGUAAGUUGAAGCUUUCAUUUGUUCAUCAUAAGAACCUAAUUAUGUGUGCUUUAAUGUGACUUUUGCUACGUGUUCUUCAUGACGUUUGAAUGAUUGAUGAAUUAAUGAUAUGAAAGAUGUUUUGAAAAUGGGAGUAUGGUACUUGAUUGAUGGUCGAGUAGGCAAGGGACGCGGGAGGAACCGGCGGACCCAACACAUGGUGGCAAAUACCUGAGGUCGAAAGACCAGUAUGGAAAACCCACAAUUAAUGAAAUAAAGUACGGCUAAUACCUGAGGUCGAAAGGCUGGUAUGGAAACCCCGUAUUAUCUAUUGGCCAAAUAUCAUGAACAGGUUCCGAAAACGAAAGCCUAUUGCUAUCAGUCAAGUACCACACUUCAAGGGUACCCGAUAAAAAGAAGGAUUUCAAAGAAAAAGGAUCACGAAUGAAGUUAUAUGUGAUAUUGUACAUAUUGAAUGAAUAACGUGUUAUGUGAUAUAUUGCUAUUACAUCCGUUUCAACUUGCUGAGCCAUUAGCUCAUUAGGUUCUUAUGAUGCAGGUAAUCAUGUACAUGUUUAGAAGUUGACCUAGCCAAGAGCGGCCAGUCAGAUAUUUGUUCAUAUGCCAUGCUU
rnacentral:lncRNA from 1 species